UAGAUCUCAGGGGUAUAUCUCAGGGGUC
rnacentral:sRNA from 1 species